GGGGGCGAUAGGUUUCGACGGGUUUAUUUUGUUCGGGUCUGCGUGCCGAUGCCCCGGACAUCGUUAAAAACGGGACAAACAACUAAGUGGCAACGAUUAUUCGUAUGCCCUGGCCGCCUAAUUAAAGGUGGCUCAUCCAAGCAAGGUUUGCUUUCCGGCUUUGCUCUGGAUGUCGAUCAGGGAAGCUGGCGAUGGAGGGUAUGCCUUAGCCCGAAACCGUGAGAUUUUGAUAUAAGGCCGGCUGGGUAGGAAGCCCGGUUUUCGGCGUCUUAUCCAGCGGGAUUAAAAGAAAACCUACACACGUAGACGACCCCUAUUGGGUAAAUCCGGACGGGGGUUCGAUUCCCCCCGCCUCCACCA
rnacentral:tmRNA from 1 species